rnacentral:lncRNA from 1 species
CUGCUCGCUCCGUCCUGGACCACACUGCUCUCUCAUCCCGAUGAUGCUGAUCUGACUUUGCAGUUCCCGCAAAUACCUGGACAUCUGGCUGGAGGGCAGCCUCAUCCUGCCAGUAUUGCAGUUUUGGGGCGCUGGGCUUGCCAUCAUGGUGCAAGACAUUGCAAGGAGACCCCUGAGGCUGUGUCUUUUACUCUUGCCUGUGUCUUGAGAAAAGCGGAAAGGACAGCGACGGGGGGAAGAGUGCAAUCUGCUCUUGAUGUGUCCUACGCAGGGUUUUUAAGAGCAUUGCCUUCCUUGCUGACGCGUGGAGCAGGAGAGGUGACGGCUAAGGUGGUACCCAGUGCCUCAGUAAGGCGGGCGAUUACCCGUGCUGCGGGCAUCGGACACCUCCUGCAUUAACCUGUUGAUGGGGAAAGAGAUACCUGCAUGGCUCCUGCACGGCUCCAGCCCGGCCUGGAUGGAGAGCAGCUGAACGGCAUCCCCGGGAGAGUCACCUGCCGGAUCCAGAUCAUACCCCUGCAAGACUUAAAACGGCCUCCGCUCUGGCUGCACGCAAGCUAGCAGGGCUGGGGUCAGGCCACAGUUCUGGGGUGACUUCUCCGAGUCCUGGCUGCCUGCAGCGAGUUAGGGUAGCGGGUGGGAAGGCUUCCUCUCCUCUUAAACGGUGAGGACGCUUGCAGAGGGGUUUUUUCUUUCCCUUUGCAUCUGAAAGGAAGCAGCCCGGAGGAUUUGAGGCAGUAGGUUAGCUCACAGAAGGCUUUCCCUGGGAACGUCCGCCCGAUGGACUUGGGGUGAAGGCCCCAGAGAAAAUGACUCCCACUCCAGUGAAAUCUUCCUCCUGUGACCUGCGCCGGGAGGUGAACUUUUGUGCGAGAGAAAGAUAAUCCCCUUUGCUCACCGGGACUGAAGGCUCUGCGAUAAAAGCUUUAUUCAAGAUCAAAGACGUAUACUUUUUUUUUUCCUUUUUUUUUUUAACUACUACCUUAAACAAAAAGUUUGGUUUAUGCUGGGUUGAAGCUCUGAUCAGCGGCAGCUCCGGAGCUCAUCUUCAGUGCAGGCGGGACGCAGGCUGGAGCAGGGAUACACAACGUAAAAGAGGGUUCACGGGAUCAGCUCCUUUUCCUGUGGCACAAAACUGCUGAGGAUUCAGGGUCCUUUUCACAUGGGAGGAUUAUCCAGGCAGCUGGGGAAGGCAGAGGGGAGCUUGGGGAAUGGAUCACAUUUGAUUUACUCAGCAAUUUCGGCUGCGUGAGCAUCAGGCAAGAGGUUUUGGUCCAAGAUGCAGGAAACUGUCGGAGCUGAAGCUGGGGUGACGCAAGGGGUUGUGUGCUUUUCUGUGCAGCGAGCUGUGGCGAUGUGUAACUUAUGAUGUAACUUUGCACUUCAAAAG